GGGUUGUGAGGUUAAGCGACUAAGCGUACACGGUGGAUGCCCUGGCAGUCAGAGGCGAUGAAGGGCGUGCUAAUCUGCGAUAAGCGCCGGUAAGGUGAUAUGAACCGUUAUAACCGGCGAUACCCGAAUGGGGAAACCCAGUGUGACUCGUCACACUAUCAUUAACUGAAUCCAUAGGUUAAUGAGGCGAACCGGGGGAACUGAAACAUCUAAGUACCCCGAGGAAAAGAAAUCAACCGAGAUUCCCCCAGUAGCGGCGAGCGAACGGGGAGGAGCCCAGAGCCUGAAUCAGCAUGUGUGUUAGUGGAAGCGUCUGGAAAGGCGCGCGAUACAGGGUGACAGCCCCGUACACAAAAGCGCAUGUGCUGUGAGCUCGAUGAGUAGGGCGGGACACGUGGUAUCCUGUCUGAAUAUGGGGGGACCAUCCUCCAAGGCUAAAUACUCCUGACUGACCGAUAGUGAACCAGUACCGUGAGGGAAAGGCGAAAAGAACCCCGGCGAGGGGAGUGAAAAAGAACCUGAAACCGUGUACGUACAAGCAGUGGGAGCACCCUUUGGGGUGUGACUGCGUACCUUUUGUAUAAUGGGUCAGCGACUUAUAUUCUGUAGCAAGGUUAACCGAAUAGGGGAGCCGGAGGGAAACCGAGUCUUAACCGGGCGUUAAGUUGCAGGGUAUAGACCCGAAACCCGGUGAUCUAGCCAUGGGCAGGUUGAAGGUUGGGUAACACUAACUGGAGGACCGAACCGACUAAUGUUGAAAAAUUAGCGGAUGACCUGUGGCUGGGGGUGAAAGGCCAAUCAAACCGGGAGAUAGCUGGUUCUCCCCGAAAGCUAUUUAGGUAGCGCCUCGUGAAUUCAUCUCCGGGGGUAGAGCACUGUUUCGGCUAGGGGGCCAUCCCGGCUUACCAACCCGAUGCAAACUGCGAAUACCGGAGAAUGUUAUCACGGGAGACACACGGCGGGUGCUAACGUCCGUCGUGAAGAGGGAAACAACCCAGACCGCCAGCUAAGGUCCCAAAGUCAUGGUUAAGUGGGAAACGAUGUGGGAAGGCCCAGACAGCCAGGAUGUUGGCUUAGAAGCAGCCAUCAUUUAAAGAAAGCGUAAUAGCUCACUGGUCGAGUCGGCCUGCGCGGAAGAUGUAACGGGGCUAAACCAUGCACCGAAGCUGCGGCAGCGACACUGUGUGUUGUUGGGUAGGGGAGCGUUCUGUAAGCCUGUGAAGGUGGCCUGUGAGGGUUGCUGGAGGUAUCAGAAGUGCGAAUGCUGACAUAAGUAACGAUAAAGCGGGUGAAAAGCCCGCUCGCCGGAAGACCAAGGGUUCCUGUCCAACGUUAAUCGGGGCAGGGUGAGUCGACCCCUAAGGCGAGGCCGAAAGGCGUAGUCGAUGGGAAACGGGUUAAUAUUCCCGUACUUGGUGUUACUGCGAAGGGGGGACGGAGAAGGCUAUGUUGGCCGGGCGACGGUUGUCCCGGUUUAAGCGUGUAGGCUGGUUUUCCAGGCAAAUCCGGAAAAUCAAGGCUGAGGCGUGAUGACGAGGCACUACGGUGCUGAAGCAACAAAUGCCCUGCUUCCAGGAAAAGCCUCUAAGCAUCAGGUAACAUCAAAUCGUACCCCAAACCGACACAGGUGGUCAGGUAGAGAAUACCAAGGCGCUUGAGAGAACUCGGGUGAAGGAACUAGGCAAAAUGGUGCCGUAACUUCGGGAGAAGGCACGCUGACACGUAGGUGAAGUGAUUUACUCACGGAGCUGAAGUCAGUCGAAGAUACCAGCUGGCUGCAACUGUUUAUUAAAAACACAGCACUGUGCAAACACGAAAGUGGACGUAUACGGUGUGACGCCUGCCCGGUGCCGGAAGGUUAAUUGAUGGGGUCAGCGCAAGCGAAGCUCCUGAUCGAAGCCCCGGUAAACGGCGGCCGUAACUAUAACGGUCCUAAGGUAGCGAAAUUCCUUGUCGGGUAAGUUCCGACCUGCACGAAUGGCGUAAUGAUGGCCAGGCUGUCUCCACCCGAGACUCAGUGAAAUUGAACUCGCUGUGAAGAUGCAGUGUACCCGCGGCAAGACGGAAAGACCCCGUGAACCUUUACUAUAGCUUGACACUGAACAUUGAGCCUUGAUGUGUAGGAUAGGUGGGAGGCUUUGAAGUGUGGACGCCAGUCUGCAUGGAGCCGACCUUGAAAUACCACCCUUUAAUGUUUGAUGUUCUAACGUGGACCCGUGAUCCGGGUUGCGGACAGUGUCUGGUGGGUAGUUUGACUGGGGCGGUCUCCUCCUAAAGAGUAACGGAGGAGCACGAAGGUUGGCUAAUCCUGGUCGGACAUCAGGAGGUUAGUGCAAUGGCAUAAGCCAGCUUGACUGCGAGCGUGACGGCGCGAGCAGGUGCGAAAGCAGGUCAUAGUGAUCCGGUGGUUCUGAAUGGAAGGGCCAUCGCUCAACGGAUAAAAGGUACUCCGGGGAUAACAGGCUGAUACCGCCCAAGAGUUCAUAUCGACGGCGGUGUUUGGCACCUCGAUGUCGGCUCAUCACAUCCUGGGGCUGAAGUAGGUCCCAAGGGUAUGGCUGUUCGCCAUUUAAAGUGGUACGCGAGCUGGGUUUAGAACGUCGUGAGACAGUUCGGUCCCUAUCUGCCGUGGGCGCUGGAGAACUGAGGGGGGCUGCUCCUAGUACGAGAGGACCGGAGUGGACGCAUCACUGGUGUUCGGGUUGUCAUGCCAAUGGCACUGCCCGGUAGCUAAAUGCGGAAGAGAUAAGUGCUGAAAGCAUCUAAGCACGAAACUUGCCCCGAGAUGAGUUCUCCCUGAGACUUUAGGUCUCCUGAAGGAACGUUGAAGACGACGACGUUGAUAGGCCGGGUGUGUAAGCGCAGCGAUGCGUUGAGCUAACCGGUACUAAUGAACCGUGAGGCUUAACCUUACAACGCCGAAG
rnacentral:rRNA from 1 species